rnacentral:snRNA from 1 species
UAAUUUACCCGGACAGGUCGACUCGCGAUCAAUAAGACGAGUGACCUAGGUUAAUGACCGCAUUGCACAUAACGCUGGAGAGUCUAAGUUAUUAUUUGUGGCAGAGAGGGGAGGGGGGUUUGCUUUCGCGCCCGUA